rnacentral:rRNA from 1 species
CCUACGGGGGGCAGCAGUGGGGAAUAUUGCACAAUGGGGGAAACCCUGAUGCAGCGACGCCGCGUGAGUGAAGAAGUAUUUCGGUAUGUAAAGCUCUAUCAGCAGGGAAGAAAAAAGACGGUACCUGACUAAGAAGCCCCGGCUAACUACGUGCCAGCAGCCGCGGUAAUACGUAGGGGGCAAGCGUUAUCCGGAUUUACUGGGUGUAAAGGGAGCGUAGACGGCGCGGCAAGUCUGAAGUGAAAGGCAGGGGCCCAACCCCGGGACUGCCCUUGGAACUGCAUGGCUGGAGUGCGGGAGGGGCAGGCGGAAUUCCUGGUGUAGCGGUGAAAUGCGUAGAUAUCAGGAGGAACACCGGCGGCGAAGGCGGCCUGCUGGACCGCGACUGACGUUGAGGCUCGAAAGCGUGGGGAGCGAACAGGAUUAGAUACCCGUGUAGUC